AUGUGGUUAGGUGAGGGAGGUGGAUGGAUGGGGAUCGGCGGCGGCGGCGUGCGUGGAGCAUGGGAGCUGUUAAAUGCCGCCCGUUAUAAAGGUUGGUUGGGUCUCCUCGCCGGCGGGAAGGAAAGCAGCUGGGCGGAGUCAAUGUUUCGCUGUGCGGCCGACGGUCGUUGGUGGCCUCCUUCCGCCUUUCCUUUCCUCAUGAACUGCCCGUGCCAUGCCGUGGCCUUUAAUUUGUGCCCUUUGUGCUCUGCUCUGUUUUUUAUGGUAAACAGAUCCCUGCAAGCUGCAAUGCAAUGCACCUGGACAAAAGCGUAUUACCGGAGCGGUGAAGCUGCCUGCCUGACGACGGCAGCACUAGGAAAUUUGACUGUUGCCAGCCUUGGCGUGUGUCAUGCUGUGGAGGUCUUUGAACUGAAGGAUUUGAUCACUGAAAAUUCCAAGCUUGCUGAAAAAUUCUUCAUCGUGGACAGUAUGGCAUGA
rnacentral:rRNA from 1 species